GACGAACGCUGGCGGCGUGCUUAACACAUGCAAGUCGAACGAAGAGCGAUGGAAGCUUGCUUCUAUCAAUCUUAGUGGCGAACGGGUGAGUAACGCGUAAUCAACCUGCCCUUCAGAGGGGGACAACAGUUGGAAACGACUGCUAAUACCGCAUACGAUCUAAACUCGGCAUCGAGGAUAGAUGAAAGGUGGCCUCUACAUGUAAGCUAUCACUGAAGGAGGGGAUUGCGUCUGAUUAGCUAGUUGGAGGGGUAACGGCCCACCAAGGCGAUGAUCAGUAGCCGGUCUGAGAGGAUGAACGGCCACAUUGGGACUGAGACACGGCCCAGACUCCUACGGGAGGCAGCAGUGGGGAAUCUUCCGCAAUGGACGAAAGUCUGACGGAGCAACGCCGCGUGAGGGAUGACGGCCUUCGGGUUGUAAAGCUCUGUUAAUCGGGACGAAAGGCCUUCUUGCGAAUAGUGAGAAGGAUUGACGGUACCGGAAUAGAAAGCCACGGCUAACUACGUG
rnacentral:rRNA from 1 species